rnacentral:rRNA from 1 species
UGCAGUCGAGCGAACAGAUAAGGAGCUUGCUCCUUUGACGUUAGCGGCGGACGGGUGAGUAACACGUGGGUAACCUACCUAUAAGACUGGAAUAACUCCGGGAAACCGGGGCUAAUGCCGGAUAACAUUUAGAACCGCAUGGUUCUAAAGUGAAAGAUGGUUUUGCUAUCACUUAUAGAUGGACCCGCGCCGUAUUAGCUAGUUGGUAAGGUAACGGCUUACCAAGGCAACGAUACGUAGCCGACCUGAGAGGGUGAUCGGCCACACUGGAACUGAGACACGGUCCAGACUCCUACGGGAGGCAGCAGUAGGGAAUCUUCCGCAAUGGGCGAAAGCCUGACGGAGCAACGCCGCGUGAGUGAUGAAGGGUUUCGGCUCGUAAAACUCUGUUAUUAGGGAAGAACAAACGUGUAAGUAACUGUGCACGUCUUGACGGUACCUAAUCAGAAAGCCACGGCUAACUACGUGCCAGCAGCCGCGGUAAUACGUAGGUGGCAAGCGUUAUCCGGAAUUAUUGGGCGUAAAGCGCGCGUAGGCGGUUUCUUAAGUCUGAUGUGAAAGCCCACGGCUCAACCGUGGAGGGUCAUUGGAAACUGGGAGACUUGAGUGCAGAAGAGGAAAGUGGAAUUCCAUGUGUAGCGGUGAAAUGCGCAGAGAUAUGGAGGAACACCAGUGGCGAAGGCGACUUUCUGGUCUGUAACUGACGCUGAUGUGCGAAAGCGUGGGGAUCAAACAGGAUUAGAUACCCUGGUAGUCCACGCCGUAAACGAUGAGUGCUAAGUG